UGGGAGGCUUUGAAGCGUGGACGCCAGUCUGCGUGGAGCCGACCUUGAAAUACCACCCUUUAAUGUUUGAUGUUCUAACGUGGAUCCGUAAUCCGGGUUGCGGACAGUGUCUGGUGGGUAGUUUGACUGGGGCGGUCUCCUCCUAAAGAGUAACGGAGGAGCACGAAGGUUGGCUAAUCCUGGUCGGACAUCAGGAGGUUAGUGCAAUGGCAUAAGCCAGCUUGACUGCGAGCGUGACGGCGCGAGCAGGUGCGAAAGCAGGUCAUAGUGAUCCGGUGGUUCUGAAUGGAAGGGCCAUCGCUCAACGGAUAAAAGGUACUCCGGGGAUAACAGGCUGAUACCGCCCAAGAGUUCAUAUCGACGGCGGUGUUUGGCACCUCGAUGUCGGCUCAUCACAUCCUGGGGCUGAAGUAGGUCCCAAGGGUAUGGCUGUUCGCCAUUUAAAGUGGUACGCGAGCUGGGUUUAGAACGUCGUGAGACAGUUCGGUCCCUAUCUGCCGUGGGCGCUGGAGAACUGAGGGGGGCUGCUCCUAGUACGAGAGGACCGGAGUGGACGCAUCACUGGUGUUCGGGUUGUCAUGCCAAUGGCACUGCCCGGUAGCUAAAUGCGGAAGAGAUAAGUGCUGAAAGCAUCUAAGCACGAAACUUGCCCCGA
rnacentral:rRNA from 3 species